UUAAAUUGAUGAUAAAUGAAACAACGCAUUUAAACUAGUCAGUUACACAGAAUAUUCCAAGCUUAAAAAAAAUAGAGUUACAAGAAGUUGCGAUUUUUAUGGCUUUGAUUUCUUUUCUUUUUAAUGUGACUUUAAUUUAACUAGAUCUUCUUCCUAUAGCUAUAACUGUUUCACCUCAAUAAAUCCAUCUUCUUUUCUAUCGUGGUCUUCAUUCUUGGCUCUCCCUCUACUUAAUUUCUUACAGUGUCUUUUUAUCAGUUUAAAAGCUAUUUGAUUCAAAGUAAAUUUUCAUUAACGAUUAAACAUGUUUUUUCUUAUGUGAAACCUAUGGAUUAUGUUUCUUCUUAUGCAGGAUUGAGAGGAAACUAUGAUUUACUAAACCGACAAAUCUGAUAGAAUUUUUCUGAAAAGGAUCAGGAACAUCCUGAAGUAAAAGAGACAAUGUCUACUAAUAUUUCGAAAGUAAAGUCUUAAGGAAAAGCAGCCGAAGGAGAGAAUUUAUCAAUUGAUCUCGUCAUGCCACCAACAGAGAUUAAUGAUUGAAAUAAACAUGAAGAGAAGGAGAAGAAAAGGAAGAAGAAUAACAACUCAAGAAACUUCAUAGUCAAGUCUAUUUAUUUGUUCUACUAUUUUUAUAUGAAUUCAUCCUUUUCUUCUUGCUGUUGUUAGAAGCUUGGAUCUAUAUCUUUUUAAUCGUCAUAUUGUAUCUUAACAGAAAAUAGUUAAUACGAAGAUUCUGUUUAAUUUA